rnacentral:lncRNA from 1 species
GAGCCGGGGGCCAGACUGUGAGAGUUGUGAGCCGGGAUAAGCUUGGUGCUACUUCUUUUCUUUUGUUUGUUAUUUUCUUUGAAUAAGAAGAUUGAAAGUUUUUGAAUAUUAUGAAGUGAAUUACGGAAUGGAAAUGUGAUUGGUAUUAUUUGAGAAGAAGAAAGAUUGAAUGCUGAAAUCUGAUUGUAGUUCAACAGAGAGAAUGAAUUUGUCUUUGUGUGAAACACUGUAAUGUGAAUGACAAUUCUGUGUGAAAAUUUCUAGUGAUUG